GACGAACGCUGGCGGCGUGCUUAACACAUGCAAGUCGAACGCUGAAGCUCAGCUUUUGUUGGGUGGAUGAGUGGCGAACGGGUGAGUAACACGUGAGUAACCUGCCUCCUUCUUUGGGAUAACGCCCGGAAACGGGUGCUAAUACUGGAUAUUCACUGGUCUUCGCAUGGGGGUUGGUGGAAAGGGUUUUUCUGGUGGGGGAUGGGCUCGCGGCCUAUCAGCUUGUUGGUGGGGUGAUGGCCUACCAAGGCUUUGACGGGUAGCUGGCCUGAGAGGGUGACCGGUCACAUUGGGACUGAGAUACGGCCCAGACUCCUACGGGAGGCAGCAGUGGGGAAUAAUGCACAAUGGGCGCAAGCCUGAUGCAGCGACGCCGCGUGAGGGAUGGAGGCCUUCGGGUUGUGAACCUCUUUCGCUCAUGGUCAAGCCGCAACAAUGGUUGUGGUGAGGGUAGUGGGUAAAGAAGCGCCGGCUAACUACGUG
rnacentral:rRNA from 1 species